rnacentral:rRNA from 1 species
UACGAAGGGGGCUAGCGUUGCUCGGAAUUACUGGGCGUAAAGCGCACGUAGGCGGGUCGCUAAGUCGGGGGUGAAAUCCUGGAGCUCAACUCCAGAACUGCCUUCGAAACUGACGAUCUUGAGUUCGGGAGAGGUGAGUGGAACUGCGAGUGUAGAGGUGAAAUUCGUAGAUAUUCGCAAGAACACCAGUGGCGAAGGCGGCUCACUGGCCCGAUACUGACGCUGAGGCGCGAAAGCGUGGGGAGCAAACAGG